GUAGGUGGCAAGCGUUGUCCGGAAUUAUUGGGCGUAAAGCGCGCGCAGGCGGUUCUUUAAGUCUGAUGUGAAAGCCCACGGCUCAACCGUGGAGGGUCAUUGGAAACUGGAGAACUUGAGUACAGAAGAGGAAAGCGGAAUUCCACGUGUAGCGGUGAAAUGCGUAGAGAUGUGGAGGAACACCAGUGGCGAAGGCGGCUUUCUGGUCUGUAACUGACGCUGAGGCGCGAAAGCGUGGGGAGCAAACAGGGAUUAGAUACCCUGGUAGUCCACGCCGUAAACGAUGAGUGCUAAGUGUUAGGGGGGUUUCCCGCCCCUUAGUGCUGCAGCUAACGCAUUAAGCACUCCGCCUGGGGAGUACGGCCGCAAAGGCUG
rnacentral:rRNA from 1 species